rnacentral:lncRNA from 1 species
GGAUGAAUGCCUUCAGGGUUGCUGGCAGGUUGCUACAUGGAUGAGGACCAGAGAGGAUGAGUCAUCUCAGGAAACAUAAUCCAUGGGUGGAGACGGGCGGUAAUGUCACACUGAGCACACUUGUUUUAGAGUUAACUUAUUAGUAUUGAUCCCCAGGGAUUUAAGCAAAUCACUUACCUCUGUUUUUCUGGAAAAACAUGGAAAACCUCAUAUAAUCACAAGAAUGAGAUUAAGGGUCAUUGACCCAAAGAAAAUAGUGCUGAUCUGUCUUCUCCUUUGUGGCCUAUCACUCUCGAGCUACCAAGACCCCAGUCUACCCCUUCCUGUGAUGUCAGCUUCAUCUUCCUCAAGAACAGUGCUUAUCAUGUACUCCUCUUGAUCUUCAAUGUCUCCUUACGACAUCCUGGAAAAAAGAUAACCUUCUUGGGAUGGCAUUCUGGAUCCCGGGAAAGUGACUGAAGAGACUUCAGCCUCACAGGAGGCCUGGCAGCAGCGUUAUCGGUCCUUCUUGAAGACUUCCCAACACUUCCAGCUCUCACCUUUGGCUGUGCUCUGCCCUCUGCCUGGAGGACUUUUUCCCCCUCUUCUUGAGAUUUUGAAAUCCUAUCCCUCCUCAAGGGAAAGUUCAAAUGUCACUGUAUUAGUUUUCUACUGCUAUGUAACAAACGCAAUGGUUUAAACCUACAGCCAUGUACUACCUCCUGGCUUUGUCAGUCAGAAUUCUGAGCAGGCUCAACUGGAGUCUCUGCUCAGGGUCUCACAAGAUGGAAACCAAGGUGUCAGCAGGAGUAGGCAUUUACCUGGAGGCUCCCAGGUAGAAUCUGUCUCCAGCUCAUCCAGGUUGUUGACUGAAUUCUGUUCCUUAUGUUGUAGAAAGAAGAUCAUUUUUCUCGCUGGCUAUUGGCUGAGGUUGCUCUGACCUCCUAGAGGUUGCUCUCGGCUUUUUCCACGUGUCCUCCUCCAUCUCAGCUACAGAAAACCUCCCUUGAGUCCCAAGUUGCCCUCAUGUUUAAAUUUUCUUCUUCUAGAAGAUUCAUGUGAUGAGACUGGGCCCACUUGGAUAAACUCCGUUUUGCCAAAGAAAGUAACAUGAUCACGGGAAUAAUAUCUCAACAGUUCUGCCCAUACUCAAAGAGGAUGAAAUUAUAAAAGGGUGAGGAUCACUGGGGUCAUUCUUUAAAUUUUUCCCAUCAUACCACCUCUUUGAGAAGUCUCUUCUGAUCCCUUCAAAUGAAUGCCAGACCCUUCCUCUGCACCUCACAGCAUGUUGUGACAAUGAAUUCACUGUCUGCAAUGGGGCUACUAUGACCUGUUCUUUCUCCACAGAAAAUAAGAGCCCAUUGGUCUUCCUUACCUCCUAUUUGUCUUUCUUAGUCUUGGCUUUUCAAAGCCCCUGAGUUAUUUUUGUGCCAGAAUAUAUUUUGGUAUUGUACUAUAUUUAAAUACUGAAAGACACAUGAAGGACUAAACCUUAAAAUGUUUAAAAAAAAAAAUGUACAGAGCCAUGAAAUAAAUAAAGUUCUAGAGAAAAGGAAGUUCUAAUA